UGUCUGUAGUCAAAGUUCAAAUGAAAAUCACUCCACACAAUUCGUAUGUUCUUGAGUAUUUCUUGAUCUAAGGUAAACCUGUUACUGACCUUAAUCUCCAUUUAAAAAAUCUAGAAAUACAUGCAUGUUUGGUACAUACUCCUGCCAUUACCCCUGACCAAGGCAUCAUGAGACACCAAAUGAAUAUUAAAUUAAGAGCAUAUUUAUUGUAUCCUAUCAUAUUCUAUGAUGUGUUGUAAUAGUAAUCUUCUUGGUUGUGAAAACCUGUAAUUGUUAUUGUUACUUCCCUUAACAGAUCACAUUGGAAGCUGCCAUGGUUCCCAUAGUGAUAAGGUCCACAUCUUGUUCCUGUGCUGCAGGGAGAGCCCUUUGUAACCACUUGGUGGGGCUUCUUUAUCUAAGUGCCCGUUUCAGCACCUUGAACUACAAGAUUGUGCCAUUACAUGUGUCUUGCACUGACAGACUGCAGACCUGGCAUAGGCCUCGGACCCAGGGCCCCUUCCUGACCCGGGUGUGAUGUCUGUUGGAGAGAAAUUGAAAGACAUUCAGCCACAGCUGGGGAUCUGUAAGAUUCUUCAUGGACUUGAGGAACUCACCGUGGUGGAGUCCAAAUUUUGUCUUGUGCCCUUUGGAUCAGUUCUAUCAUACCAGUGCCCCCUAGAGAGCGUGCCCUGGUGGGGAAAGUGGACGCGGGGAAGAUCAAGCACAAGUGGGAGAACCUCAAACAAAAAUACAAGGGCCUUGAGGAAGAUGCUGCGCCACCGCGUCUUCAUCAUGCCAAUCGCCCUUUCCACCACACACCGUGCUUUGGCAUGAUGCCGGGUGCAUCGUGCGUGAACAGGGUUUUGCACCGGCUCCCUGAAUCAUCAGGCUGAUUGGUGCAGCCAGGCAGGGAUACCCCCAUCCCCAACAAUACACCAUGAGGGGGGUAGAGUUGGUGUACGUACAGAGAACUCCACCGCAGGAUCCUGCAUCGUGGACAGAGCCUGGAAGUGCUGUGAACAUGGGUGAUGUAUUGUGAAUAUGUCAUUGUACUUGACAUGGUACAGGACACAUUAUGUUGAAAAUGCCCGUCUCAAACACUUCUGAAAUGUGACAUCACAAAUUCAAUUGUGAUUAUACAAUAUCUUUUAAAGUAAUUACAGUGUUUACAAUCAUGAGAUGAGUAGAAAUUCACACAUGAACAUAAUGACGUCGCAGUUGUUGGGUGAUAAAUACAAAUCACAGUAAGUGUGAGUCCUGGUCCACAUUCACUUUAAUUGUAUGUGAGAUGACUGCAACACUUUUUUCCUGAGAAACUCCAGCAGUGUUAGGUGGACUUAAAGUUAACCCAACCUUCCAUAGGUAUUAAUGUCAGUAAAUGAUGACUGAAUUAUUUAUUAGAUCAACAAUCCCUUAAGCAGUGUAAGCUGUACUCAUACAUUUCUGACUUUCAUUUCUACCUGUAUAUGUAUUAAGGAAGCGACCUUUGUGAUCACACACCACCAGCAGCUGAAUGGAAGAGCUUCCUGUUGAACAACACAAAAUGUAAUUGAUAACCACUCACAUUGAUGUGGGAUUAAAAACAGGUUUAUAUGAAGUGGUAUUUUGUAUGCAGGUUACCUGUUAAGGUAGUCUUCUUUGUUUGCUGCAGGUGGCUUGAUUCUAAUGUGUGUCCCAUCAAUGCUGCCAGCCGCUCUGCAGAAGGCAUGAGAGCCAGCCAGGUGGGCAAAGCCUUCCCCUAUUCCCUCUAGCUCACCAGCAGCAGGGAGAUGAACCACCCUCUUCAUGAUGCUGAUGAUACUUCCAGCGACUCGAUGAACAACAUCAUGAACCGUGGUGAUGGGGACACCAAAGGCUCCUGACACCACCCGAUACGAGGUGGCACUGGCCAGCCAGUAUAAAUAUAUCCCCACUUCGAGGUCUUUGCUCCAGCCAUGGUCCUUGGUGUAUCCCAGACACUCCACCAAGGCCUUCACUGUCUGCCUUGACAGACUGAAGUCUUUCUUUAGUUCUCCAUCUCCCAGGUAGAGGUGGACAGUAGCGCUGUGGCCAUUCAAUUAGAGGUAUUGUCCUCACAGUCCACGCUGAGUAGGGACAGGAUGUUUCAGGUGUCUGAACUUGUGUUUCCAAAGUGAAAAGUGUUUUAUCAUUCAUGAAGUGUUUUUUGGUUACUGAUAUAAUACUGUUGUCAGUUUGCUGUGAAAUUCACUAUUUGAAUUUAAUUCAAUGUUAAGAAAUGAAGUGGUUACUAAUAAACAUGUCACACAAUAGUA